rnacentral:rRNA from 1 species
GAAUAUUGGACAAUGGGUGAGAGCCUGAUCCAGCCAUCCCGCGUGAAGGACGACGGCCCUAUGGGUUGUAAACUUCUUUUGUACAGGGAUAAACCCAGAUACGUGUAUCUGGCUGAAGGUACUGUACGAAUAAGCACCGGCUAACUCCGUGCCAGCAGCCGCGGUAAUACGGAGGGUGCAAGCGUUAUCCGGAUUUAUUGGGUUUAAAGGGUCCGUAGGCGGGCCCGUAAGUCAGUGGUGAAAUCUCGCAGCUUAACUGUGAAACUGCCAUUGAUACUGCGGGUCUUGAGUAAAUUUGAAGUGGCUGGAAUAAGUAGUGUAGCGGUGAAAUGCAUAGAUAUUACUUAGAACACCAAUUGCGAAGGCAGGUCACUAAGAUUUAACUGACGCUGAUGGACGAAAGCGUGGGGAGCGAACAG